rnacentral:rRNA from 1 species
UACGAAGGGGCUAGCGUUGCUCGGAAUGACUGGGCGUAAAGGGCGCGUAGGCGGCUUGUAUAGUCGGAUGUGAAAUUCCUGGGCUUAACCUGGGGGCUGCAUACGAGACGUAUGGGCUUGAGUGCGGAAGAGGGUCGGUGGAAUUCCCAGUGUAGAGGUGAAAUUCGUAGAUAUUGGGAAGAACACCGGUGGCGAAGGCGGUUCUCUGGGCCUUACCCUGGACGCUGAGGAGCGAAA